rnacentral:rRNA from 1 species
UUGAACGCUGGCGGCAUGCCUUACACAUGCAAGUCGAACGGUAACAGGUCUUCGGAUGCUGACGAGUGGCGAACGGGUGAGUAAUACAUCGGAACGUGCCCGAUCGUGGGGGAUAACGGAGCGAAAGCUUUGCUAAUACCGCAUACGAUCUACGGAUGAAAGCAGGGGACCGCAAGGCCUUGCGCGGACGGAGCGGCCGAUGGCAGAUUAGGUAGUUGGUGGGAUAAAAGCUUACCAAGCCGACGAUCUGUAGCUGGUCUGAGAGGACGACCAGCCACACUGGGACUGAGACACGGCCCAGACUCCUACGGGAGGCAGCAGUGGGGAAUUUUGGACAAUGGGCGAAAGCCUGAUCCAGCCAUGCCGCGUGCAGGAUGAAGGCCUUCGGGUUGUAAAGCUCUUUCAGCCGGGAAGAAAUCACAUGGGUUAAUACCCUGUGUGGAUGACGGUACCGGAAUAAGAAGCACCGGCUAACUACGU